rnacentral:rRNA from 1 species
AACGAACGCUGGCGGCAUGCCUAACACAUGCAAGUCGAACGAGACCUUCGGGUCUAGUGGCGCACGGGUGCGUAACGCGUGGGAACCUGCCCUUAGGUUCGGAAUAACUCCCCGAAAGGGGUGCUAAUACCGGAUAAUGUCUUCGGACCAAAGAUUUAUCGCCUUUGGAUGGGCCCGCGUUGGAUAAGCUAGUUGGUAGGGUAAAAGCCUACCAAGGCGACGAUCCAUAGCUGGUCUGAGAGGAUGAUCAGCCACACUGGGACUGAGACACGGCCCAGACUCCUACGGGAGGCAGCAGUGGGGAAUAUUGGACAAUGGGCGAAAGCCUGAUCCAGCAAUGCCGCGUGAGUGAUGAAGGCCUUAGGGUUGUAAAGCUCUUUUACCCGGGAUGAUAAUGACAGUACCGGGAGAAUAAGCGCCGGCUAACUCCGUG